UACAGAGGGUGCAAGCGUUGCUCGGAAUCAUUGGGCGUAAAGGUAGGUAGGUGGUCUCAUUUGUCUAGGGUGAAAUCCUUGAGCUUAACUCAGAAGUGCCCUGGAAACGGUGAGACUGGAGUCCUGGAGAGGGUCGUGGAAUUCCCGGUCGUAGCGGUGAAAUGCGUGAGAUCCGGAGGAACACCGACGGCGUAGCAGCGCCCUGGACGACGACCUGACGCUGAGGCACGAAAGCUGGGGGAGCGAACAGG
rnacentral:rRNA from 1 species